GACGAACGCUGGCGGCGUGCUUAACACAUGCAAGUCGAACGGUGAAGCGCCUUCCUUUUUGGUGGGUGUGGAUGAGUGGCGAACGGGUGAGUAACACGUGAGUAACCUGCCCCCUUCUUCUGGAUAACCGCAUGAAAGUGUGGCUAAUACGGGAUAUUCUGGGUCUGUCGCAUGAUGGGUCUGGGAAAGAUAUUGUUUCGGUGGGGGAUGGGCUCGCGGCCUAUCAGCUUGUUGGGGGGGUGAUGGCCUACCAAGGCGGUGACGGGUAGCCGGCCUGAGAGGAUGGACGGUAACAGUGGGACUGAGACACGGCCCAGACUGGUACGGGAGGCAGCAGGGGGGAAUAUUGCACAAUGGGCGGAAGACUGAUGCAGCGACGCCGCGUGAGGGAUGGAGGCCUUCGGGUUGUGAACCUCUUUCGCCAGUGAAGCAGGGCUGCCUCGUUUGUGGGUGGGUUGACGGUAGCUGGAGAAGAAGCGCCGGCUAACUACGUG
rnacentral:rRNA from 1 species